UCUGGUAGUUAUGGCGAGAAGGUCACACCCGUUCCCAUCCCGAACACGGUAGUUAAGC
rnacentral:rRNA from 1 species